GACCCCGGAGGGUCCGAACUGUCUCAGCGGAGAAAGGGGACAUAGUGUGCUGGCGAGCGCUGGCUGUUGGCGUUAGAGCUCCGGCUGUGGCUCAGUCUGGGGCGCGGUUCUUGCCAACACACCAUGUCCAGAGACAGGUGACAAAAAAAAUUCAAAUUUCAAACCAGCUCUGGAUGGAAAUGAAAAACACAGGGUCCCACUUAUGUUAAGGCAGGCAUGUCUUUCGCCUUCUUACUCGCACCUUCCGCUAUGGAUUCGCUCUUCAGGGGGCACUGAGACAUCCCACAGUGCCCUGGACGGCCCACCCCAACCAUGGUAUCCGUUGUCCAACAGUUUUGGAUACCCCAGAAUCGGUCUCCCUUAUCCCCCCUUACAGCUUGGUGCACUACCCCCUUCUUACCUUAGAUAACUACUCCUCCAUUGUGAAAUGAAAACUAGGCAAAGGCGAAUUUCAUUUCAAACGUUAUAAACGGUAUGUAUUUAUUAAGCCGAAUCAAAAAUUCAUUGCCAGACAAAGUUCAAUCAAACGAAAAAAAAAGCAAAGAAAACAAAACAAGGAAUUGUAUAGUGGCAAUUAAAAAACUUCGUUUAUAUAAACUCCUCUCCUUCAAAGAGAAAAAUAGUAAUAAAAUUCUCCUUCCUCCACAGGUGUAUUGGGUCUUCUCAUGGUGUCUGGCCUUCCUUCAGGGUCGUCUCUCCUAACUGGAGUCAGUGCUGGAGCGGCUGAGCAGUGCCCACGCUUUCCUCUUGUCUGUCCGUCCGUCUGGUUGUGGCCUAAGUUCGCAAAGCGAACACCAACAGCAGUAAGGGCUCCUUUCCGCCCAAAAGGUCUAGAAUCUUUACCCCCUGGCCCUAGGUUGAGCUCGACCUAACAGCUGAGGACAGCGCCUAUUUAUUCUAGCGCUGUGUUACUAAUAGAAAGGAAAUAUGUGUGUCAAGGUCCUGUCCGUCCGUCUAAGUUCACGUAUACGUCCCGCAAUAGUGUUUGUGAGGAAAAGGGUACCUGCAGCACUGUCGGCUGACCAGUGCUUUUGAUAUAGAGCUUCCCACGAUGGACAGAGGAGGUGGAGGUGUAGCUUUAUGUUUUCGCGUUUGGCUUUUUGUUAUUUUGUGAUCAACUUUGGUGGUGUCUAUUGUCUUUGAUUUUCAAGUUUAGGAUUUUUAACUAUUGACUUUGAUUUGGUUUUUAGUUUUUUUUUCUUUUCAGGUCUUUUAUUAUUACAUUGGUAUUUUCCUUUUUUUUUUUUCAGGUUCUUUGGCUUUGCUUCGAAACUUUUCCCUUUUCAGGUUCCUUUUUAUUUAAUUUGAUAACAUUUCUUUUUUUUUUCCCAGAGUUUUCAUAGAUUUUCUUUUUCAGCUUUUAAUAACUUUCAGUUCGAUUUAUUUUAAUCACCUUUCUUUUCAUAAUCUUCUUUUUCAGCUCUUUAGUUUUUAAUUUGUAUUUAUUUUCAUUUAUUUUGUUACAGCUUUUAAAACUUCUCAAUAAUUUAUAGUUAAUUUUUUUCCUCUUUCAGCAAAUGUGCUGAAAGUUCAAUAAAUCACUUUAAAACUUUGAAUUUGGUCUUUUUCUUUGUUGUUGGGUAAAAGCCAGUUCCGCCUCCUUUUCUCUGCCGAAUCCAAAACCAAAAAGACUUUCUUUCUUUUUGAAAACACCACUUUCAACACUCUUCUGUACACCACCUCUUACUCCUUGCACGGCUCCAUCCAAAAAGAAGUAGUCAUCUUCCCUUUACUGUCCAUCAUGGUUCCCCCAAGCCAUCAUGUCCACCGAGGAACCAUCAUAAAAUUUUGUUUUCCAAAAUCGCAAAAACAAAUAACAUAUGGUUUCCUCGAUUUUCAUUGUAGUAGUUACAUUUGUAUGUGGAGGUAACAUAU